UAAAAACUUAAUUCUGUAGUCAAUCUCGUUUUCAUAAAUACAGUCAAAUUUCUAUUUCCCUAAAAUGCCUGAAAGUAGCAUUUUUUGUUUUCUGAUUUUCGUUUUUUUCCUGUUUACCACAUGUGCCGCAUUUAACAAAGGCCUUGUAAAGUGUGCAGACUGUAAUAAGGAUGGUUCCGAUAUUUGCAAAAUUGAAAGUGAUCCGGGAUACUUCGUGGCUCCAAAAGGACUUGCAGCAACAAAAGAUUUUAGAUCCUCCUUGUUGCCUCCGCUAUCGGCGGACUUGGACGUUUGCAUUCCUACAAGUAUGAAAAUUGAUGCAAAAGAUGAUUUCGAAUAUAUAUGUGUUUGGUCACGCGAACUUGGUUGUCAAAUGCUAAUACCUAAGAACAAUAAGAACGAAUUAAGCUGUGGGAUGUGCCAAGUGGCCGGUGUAGUUGGAAUACCAGGUUGUCCGUGCAUAAAUUCCGUCAUCAAUUUGGAUGUGGGAAGUGUUGGAAAGAAAAAAGAGAAAUCGGGAUCAAGGCAACUCUACCCCGGUUAUCUUCAUAUUAUGAUUGCUGCUUUUGUUGUGCAGCAGCAGGUAGUUAUAAGACUGAAGAUAGGCGGGCUUUCAGAGUUCUAGAACACGUUGCCUUCAACUGAGUUUAGUAUUCGCCAAGAGCUUUCUAAUGUCCCAAGCAAAUGCAGCUGGUUCACAGUGCCUAUCAAAUUCCGAAGUAUUUUUUUAAAUUUUGUUUUGUUUCAAACCUUGUACUGUGUGCAGACUGUAAUAAGGAAGGUUUCGAUAUUUGCGAAACUAAACUUUAUUCGGGAUACUAUGUUGCUCCAAAUGGAACUUUGGAAACGAGAUAUUCUAGAUCCUCUUUGUUGCCCCCUCUAACCUCGGACUUGGACGUUUGCAUUCCUAGAAAUAUGAAAAUUGAUGCAAAAGAUGAUUUCGAAUAUAUAUGUGUUUGGUCACCCGAACUUGGUUGUCAAAUGCUAGUACCUAAGAACCAUAAGAUCGAAUUAGAGUGUCCAAUAUGCCAACUGAUCGGUGUAGGAAAAGGUUGUCCGUGCACACUUCACUCGUACGAAGUCGGCAAGAAAAAAGAGAAAUCGGGAUCAAGGCAACUCUACCCCGGUGAUCUUCAUGUUAUGAUUGCUGCUUUUGUUGUGCAGCAGCAGACCUUGUACUGUGUGUAGACUGUAAUAAGGAUGAUUCCGAUGUUUGCAAAAUUGAAAGUGAUUCGGGACACUAUGUUGCUCCAAAAGGAAUUUUGGAAUCGAGAAGUCUUAGAUCCUCUUCGUCGCUUCCGACAACCACGGACUUGGACGUUUGCAUUCCUACAAGUAUGAAAAUUGAUGCAGAAAAUGAUUUCGAAUAUAUAUGUGUUUGGUCACGCGAACUUGGUUGUCAAAUGCUAAUACCUAAGAACACUAAGACCGAAUUGGACUGUGCGGUAUGCCAAGUGAAAGUAGCUGGAUUAAAAAGUUGUCCGUGCAAAACCCCCGAGAUAAAUUUUGGCGAUUUCGGAAAGAAAAAGGAGAAAUCGGGAUCAAGGCAACUCUACCCCGGUUAUCUUCAUAUUAUAAUUGCUGCUUUUGUUGUGCAGCAUCAGGUACUUAUAAGACUGAAGCUAGGCGGGCUUUAAGAAAGAGUUCUGAAACACGUUGCCGUCAACUGAGUUUAGUAUUCACCAAGAGCUUUCCAAGUUCCCAAACAAAUUCACAGUGCCUGUCAAAUUUCGAGCAAUUUUGUUUUAAGGGAAAGACUUCAAGUAAAUAAACAAUUUUCGAUUGUAUUGACUGUAUAAGAAA